rnacentral:rRNA from 1 species
UACGGGGGGAGCAAGCGUUGUUCGGAUUUACUGGGCGUAGAGGGCGCGUAGGCGGCCACCGCAAGUCGACUGUGAAAUCUCCGGGCUUAACCCGGAAAGGUCAGCCGAUACUGCGGGGCUAGAGUGCAGAAGGGGCAACUGGAAUUCUCGGUGUAGCGGUGAAAUGCGUAGAUAUCGAGAGGAACACCUGCGGCGAAGGCGGGUUGCUGGGCUGACACUGACGCUGAUGUGCGAAAGCUAGGGGAGCGAACGGG